GGGGGGGGGGGGGGGGGGGGGAAGGGAGGCGAGGCGAGGGGGGGGGGCGGGGGUUGCACUGGGGCUCGAGGGGCGAAGGGGUGAGUAACACGUGGGGGGUCAGGCCGGUAAUUCGGGCUAAGCUUGGGAAAGUGGGUGUAAUACCGGGUAGUACACCGUUUUGGGUAUGGGGUGUGAAAGCGUUUGCGGUAUGGUGUGAGCUUGCGGCCUAUCAGCUUGUUGGUGGGGUAAUGGCCUACCAAGGCGUCGACGGGUAGCCGGCCUGAGAGGUUGUACGUCCACAUUGGGACUUAGAUACGGCCCAGACGCCUACGGGAGGCAGCAGGGGGGAAUAUUGCACAAUGGGCGCAAGCCUGAUGCAGCGACGCCGCGUGGGGGAUGAAGGCCUUCGGGUUGUAAACUCCUUUCGCUAGGGACGAAGCUUUUUUGUGACGGUACCUGGAGAAGAAGCACCGGCUAACUACGUG
rnacentral:rRNA from 1 species